CCUGGCUCAGGAUGAACGCUAGCUACAGGCUUAACACAUGCAAGUCGAGGGGCAGCAUGGUCUUAGCUUGCUAAGGCCGAUGGCGACCGGCGCACGGGUGAGUAACACGUAUCCAACCUGCCGUCUACUCUUGGACAGCCUUCUGAAAGGAAGAUUAAUACAAGAUGGCAUCAUGAGUCCGCAUGUUCACAUGAUUAAAGGUAUUCCGGUAGACGAUGGGGAUGCGUUCCAUUAGAUAGUAGGCGGGGUAACGGCCCACCUAGUCUUCGAUGGAUAGGGGUUCUGAGAGGAAGGUCCCCCACAUUGGAACUGAGACACGGUCCAAACUCCUACGGGAGGCAGCAGUGAGGAAUAUUGGUCAAUGGGCGAGAGCCUGAACCAGCCAAGUAGCGUGAAGGAUGACUGCCCUAUGGGUUGUAAACUUCUUUUAUAAAGGAAUAAAGUCGGGUAUGGAUACCCGUUUGCAUGUACUUUAUGAAUAAGGAUCGGCUAACUCCGUGCCAGCAGCCGCGGUAAUACGGAGGAUCCGAGCGUUAUCCGGAUUUAUUGGGUUUAAAGGGAGCGUAGAUGGAUGUUUAAGUCAGUUGUGAAAGUUUGCGGCUCAACCGUAAAAUUGCAGUUGAUACUGGAUAUCUUGAGUGCAGUUGAGGCAGGCGGAAUUCGUGGUGUAGCGGUGAAAUGCUUAGAUAUCACGAAGAACUCCGAUUGCGAAGGCAGCCUGCUAAGCUGCAACUGACAUUGAGGCUCGAAAGUGUGGGUAUCAAACAGGAUUAGAUACCCUGGUAGUCCACACGGUAAACGAUGAAUACUCGCUGUUUGCGAUAUACUGCAAGCGGCCAAGCGAAAGCGUUAAGUAUUCCACCUGGGGAGUACGCCGGCAACGGUGAAACUCAAAGGAAUUGACGGGGGCCCGCACAAGCGGAGGAACAUGUGGUUUAAUUCGAUGAUACGCGAGGAACCUUACCCGGGCUUAAAUUGCAGAUGAAUUACGGUGAAAGCCGUAAGCCGCAAGGCAUCUGUGAAGGUGCUGCAUGGUUGUCGUCAGCUCGUGCCGUGAGGUGUCGGCUUAAGUGCCAUAACGAGCGCAACCCUUGUUGUCAGUUACUAACAGGUUCCGCUGAGGACUCUGACAAGACUGCCAUCGUAAGAUGUGAGGAAGGUGGGGAUGACGUCAAAUCAGCACGGCCCUUACGUCCGGGGCUACACACGUGUUACAAUGGGGGGUACAGAGGGCCGCUACCACGCGAGUGGAUGCCAAUCCCAAAAACCUCUCUCAGUUCGGACUGGAGUCUGCAACCCGACUCCACGAAGCUGGAUUCGCUAGGAAUCGCGCAUCAGCCACGGCGCGGUGAAUACGCUCCAAGGGCUUGUACACACCGCCC
rnacentral:rRNA from 1 species